GGAUGACCGGCUCGACCUCCAGCCCUGCACUCCCGGCGGUGCUCCCAGUCCCUUGCCACGCAGGGCCUUCUGUGGGACGCCCACCCAGAUACAUCCCAAACACAGCUGCGGGACCCCUCGAACCUUGCUACCCUUCUGUACCCACUCCUAGAAGUCAUCACGGCAGCUGGAAAGCACUGCCGGCCUCCUCGUGGUUGCGGGUAGACCCUUAAGUGACCGCGACACACCCCGUGUAAUUUGUCUGUGGCGCCCUCCACAAGCCAUAAUUAAAACGCAGAACUCAAAAUGGACAGUCCAGGACAAUCUCGUAUGAGAAUAGGAAGGGACCUGGACGUCAUUUUGCCUCCACCGUUUUUGUUACAUAAUGGAAACCAGACAGAGAGGGAAGGCCACUUGCCCAGGGUUACCCCACUGGUAAUUUUGCAGCAUAAUGUGACCUUGGAGCCCUGGACUGGAAAGCGGCUUGUUUUCAACUAAGAAAGAGCUGUUCUAUUUGUUCCAUUCACCCUAAAAAGAUAUCUUCACACAAAAAACCUCGACAACGUACAUGACUUGUCUCUUCUGCUGCUACUGCCCUGAGCCAGGGCAGACCUUUGCAUCUGGAGGAGAGUAAACUUCUUUAAGACCAGAAGGGAUCUGGCAGGA